AAUAAUUCAGCAAAUGCCUGAUAAUGGUCAACGGGGCCUAUACAUGGACCCCAUGCUUACAAAAAAGCACAGCUGACGUUACACCUUCAAGUAAAAUCAAGAAAAGCAAAAAGCCCAAUACACUUUUCCCCUCUCACACACUCCCAUCUCGAUCUGACUUUGCUACAAACAUAGAAAACCAAAAAAACUCAAUUGGCACAGUGAAAUAAAAAUAAACAGGUGGGUGAUUAGGUAUGUUAAUUAUGUGUAGGGGUGUUUGUUUGGUAGUUAGUUAAUUAUUGUGAAUGGGAAAAAAUAUCUUUUUGAUCUAAUCUUGAUUUUCUCUUUGGUGAAAUUUCAGCUUCCUUUUUUUUUUUUGAGUUGGGAAUUGCCAUUUGACUCUAUGAGCAAAGAAAGGCCACCAGAGCCUCUGGAUUUCUUUAUUUGGACUGUUGAGGUAAUGAGAUUCUUCACUAAUUUUGAUUCAUCCAUAUUCCAGAUCUCGGGAGUAGCUUUGAUACCAUGAUUUUGUAAUGGAGUUUUAUGAUUACUGGAUGUAGAAUUUUGUUGUUUCUUUCUGUGGCUCUUUCGUCUCUCUACCUACAUGAUUUAGUGGUAAGGCUUGCGUACACUCUACACACUCUACACUCGCUGACCCCACUUGUGGGAUUUCACCGGGUAUAUUGUUGUAUUGUUUGUAUUUUUUCUGUGUCUCACUGUUGUAGUUGUUGUAUAUGAUGGGUUUCUCUUGAUAAUCUGAUGAUUUGUAGGUGACAUAAGUUCAAAAAAUGCAAUUUGUUCAUCGUUUUUUUGCUCUUAUUGUUGAACUUUUGAGUUUGGUCUGUAUAAGGAAUAUGAUAAUUCUGCUAAUGCAUAUACAUUUGGGGACUGAUGUACAGAAUUCUAUAGGUUGGUUACUGGUGAAGGGAGUGAAAGAGAGUCUAUGUUCUUAAAGACAACUUCAAUCCUGAGUGUCCUUAAAGUACGUAAAUAUAUAUAUGUUUUUCAUCGAGUUAGAUAAAUUUUGAUACUUUUGAUUGAGAUGGAAUAACAAAAUAUGAUGAUAAAAUAAGUAUGGUUUUAUUUAUAUGCAAAAUAAGUAGAGGUAUGUUGUUGUUGUU
rnacentral:lncRNA from 1 species